rnacentral:tRNA from 20 species
GGCGGAUGUGGCCAAGUGGAUCAAGGCAGU